rnacentral:rRNA from 1 species
GUGGAUGCCUUGGCACUAGAAGCCGAUGAAGGACGUUACUAACGACGAUAUGCUUUGGGGAGCUGUAAGUAAGCUUUGAUCCAGAGAUUUCCGAAUGGGGAAACCCAACAUGAGUUAUGUCAUGUUAUCGAUAUGUGAAUACAUAGCAUAUCAGAAGGCACACCCGGAGAACUGAAACAUCUUAGUACCCGGAGGAAGAGAAAGAAAAUUCGAUUCCCUUAGUAGCGGCGAGCGAAACGGGAAGAGCCCAAACCAACAAGCUUGCUUGUUGGGGUUGUAGGACACUCUAUACGGAGUUACAAAGGACGACAUUAGACGAAUCAUCUGGAAAGAUGAAUCAAAGAAGGUAAUAAUCCUGUAGUCGAAAAUGUUGUCUCUCUUGAGUGGAUCCUGAGUACGACGGAGCACGUGAAAUUCCGUCGGAAUCUGGGAGGACCAUCUCCUAAGGCUAAAUACUCUCUAGUGACCGAUAGUGAACCAGUACCGUGAGGGAAAGGUGAAAAGCACCCCGGAAGGGGAGUGAAAUAGAACCUGAAACCGUGUGCUUACAAGUAGUCAGAGCCCGUUAAUGGGUGAUGGCGUGCCUUUUGUAGAAUGAACCGGCGAGUUACGAUUUGAUGCAAGGUUAAGCAGUAAAUGUGGAGCCGUAGCGAAAGCGAGUCUGAAUAGGGCGUUUAGUAUUUGGUCGUAGACCCGAAACCAGGUGAUCUACCCUUGGUCAGGUUGAAGUUCAGGUAACACUGAAUGGAGGACCGAACCGACUUACGUUGAAAAGUGAGCGGAUGAACUGAGGGUAGCGGAGAAAUUCCAAUCGAACCUGGAGAUAGCUGGUUCUCUCCGAAAUAGCUUUAGGGCUAGCCUCAAGUGAUGAUUAUUGGAGGUAGAGCACUGUUUGGACGAGGGGCCCCUCUCGGGUUACCGAAUUCAGACAAACUCCGAAUGCCAAUUAAUUUAACUUGGGAGUCAGAACAUGGGUGAUAAGGUCCGUGUUCGAAAGGGAAACAGCCCAGACCACCAGCUAAGGUCCCAAAAUAUAUGUUAAGUGGAAAAGGAUGUGGCGUUGCCCAGACAACUAGGAUGUUGGCUUAGAAGCAGCCAUCAUUUAAAGAGUGCGUAAUAGCUCACUAGUCGAGUGACACUGCGCCGAAAAUGUACCGGGGCUAAACAUAUUACCGAAGCUGUGGAUUGUCCUUUGGACAAUGGUAGGAGAGCGUUCUAAGGGCGUUGAAGCAUGAUCGUAAGGACAUGUGGAGCGCUUAGAAGUGAGAAUGCCGGUGUGAGUAGCGAAAGACGGGUGAGAAUCCCGUCCACCGAUUGACUAAGGUUUCCAGAGGAAGGCUCGUCCGCUCUGGGUUAGUCGGGUCCUAAGCUGAGGCCGACAGGCGUAGGCGAUGGAUAACAGGUUGAUAUUCCUGUACCACCUAUAAUCGUUUUAAUCGAUGGGGGGACGCAGUAGGAUAGGCGAAGCGUGCGAUUGGAUUGCACGUCUAAGCAGUAAGGCUGAGUAUUAGGCAAAUCCGGUACUCGUUAAGGCUGAGCUGUGAUGGGGAGAAGACAUUGUGUCUUCGAGUCGUUGAUUUCACACUGCCGAGAAAAGCCUCUAGAUAGAAAAUAGGUGCCCGUACCGCAAACCGACACAGGUAGUCAAGAUGAGAAUUCUAAGGUGAGCGAGCGAACUCUCGUUAAGGAACUCGGCAAAAUGACCCCGUAACUUCGGGAGAAGGGGUGCUCUUUAGGGUUAACGCCCAGAAGAGCCGCAGUGAAUAGGCCCAAGCGACUGUUUAUCAAAAACACAGGUCUCUGCUAAACCGUAAGGUGAUGUAUAGGGGCUGACGCCUGCCCGGUGCUGGAAGGUUAAGAGGAGUGGUUAGCUUCUGCGAAGCUACGAAUCGAAGCCCCAGUAAACGGCGGCCGUAACUAUAACGGUCCUAAGGUAGCGAAAUUCCUUGUCGGGUAAGUUCCGACCCGCACGAAAGGCGUAACGAUUUGGGCACUGUCUCAACGAGAGACUCGGUGAAAUCAUAGUACCUGUGAAGAUGCAGGUUACCCGCGACAGGACGGAAAGACCCCGUGGAGCUUUACUGUAGCCUGAUAUUGAAAUUCGGCACAGCUUGUACAGGAUAGGUAGGAGCCUUUGAAACGUGAGCGCUAGCUUACGUGGAGGCGCUGGUGGGAUACUACCCUAGCUGUGUUGGCUUUCUAACCCGCACCACUUAUCGUGGUGGGAGACAGUGUCAGGCGGGCAGUUUGACUGGGGCGGUCGCCUCCUAAAAGGUAACGGAGGCGCUCAAAGGUUCCCUCAGAAUGGUUGGAAAUCAUUCAUAGAGUGUAAAGGCAUAAGGGAGCUUGACUGCGAGACCUACAAGUCGAGCAGGGUCGAAAGACGGACUUAGUGAUCCGGUGGUUCCGCAUGGAAGGGCCAUCGCUCAACGGAUAAAAGCUACCCCGGGGAUAACAGGCUUAUCUCCCCCAAGAGUUCACAUCGACGGGGAGGUUUGGCACCUCGAUGUCGGCUCAUCGCAUCCUGGGGCUGUAGUCGGUCCCAAGGGUUGGGCUGUUCGCCCAUUAAAGCGGUACGCGAGCUGGGUUCAGAACGUCGUGAGACAGUUCGGUCCCUAUCCGUCGUGGGCGUAGGAAAUUUGAGAGGAGCUGUCCUUAGUACGAGAGGACCGGGAUGGACAUACCUCUGGUGUACCAGUUGUCGUGCCAACGGCAUAGCUGGGUAGCUAUGUGUGGACGGGAUAAGUGCUGAAAGCAUCUAAGCAUGAAGCCCCCCUCAAGAUGAGAUUUCCCAACUUCGGUUAUAAGAUCCCUCAAAGAUGAUGAGGUUAAUAGGUUCGAGGUGGAAGCAUGGUGACAUGUGGAGCUGACGAAUACUAAUCGAUCGAAGACUUAAUCAA